CUAAGAAAGGGGGGAUGUUUAUUUUGGAGAAGAUUUAGGGUUUGAAUACUGAUGGGCUUAGACUGUAAUUAUCUAUGUGUUAUUGGUUGAAUUAUGCGCCCCCCCUCUCCCCGCGAAGAUAUGUUGAAAUCCUAAUUCCAAGAACAUCAGAAUGUGAUCUUCAGAUAUAAGGUCAUUGCAAAUAUAGUCCAUUAGGUUAAAAUGAGGUCAUACUAGAGUGGGGUAAGCCCCUAAUCCAAUAAGACUGGAGUCCUUUUAACAAAAUAACCAUGUGAAGACACAGAGAUACAGGGAGAAUGCUAUGUGAAGAUAAAGGCAGAGGCUGGAGUAAAGCAGCUAUAAGCUAACAAAGUGAAGGACUGCUGGCAACCACCAGAAGUUAAGAAGAGGCAAGGAAGAAUCAUCCCUCAAGAGCCUUAAGAGAGAGCAUGGCUGUGCCAACACUUUGAUUUUGGACUUCUGGACUUCCAAAACUAUGCAGUAUAUUUUAAAUCCUUAAAGAAAUGAUGAAGACAUCCUGAAACAGAGUUCAACGGACUCCUAAUUAUAAACUCUGAGGCAAAUAUAUACAAUAACAUAUUCUAUUUUAAUAAUUCCUUGUCACCAGCCUUGAUUUUAUCUUCUUUUCUUUUACCUCCCUCUGUGAAGAUUCAUUUGGUAUUUCUUUCAUUCAUUAGACUCCUUUACAUUAGGUAUUUCCAUGUAUUUUACAAUGACACUCUGAACUCCCAUCUCUGCUGAAGAUAAUGUUUAGCUACUAUAUCUAGCACUGGAAGCUAUGGCACCUUCAUUUCUGCUGAUCCUUGUCAGAAAAAAAUUACCAGCCUCAGCCAAGAUGUCAGGGGCUUCAUGUGUGGGUUAGCAGUAAAACACACCCAAUAAAUCACCACCAGUGAACUGUCUAAACAAAUCCUUAUUUCAACCCUUUCCUCCAUCUCUUUUGCCUAUAUCUCUCCCCCAGCACUAAGCCUUCCCAUGGAGUUUUCUGUUCCACGUUAAUAUUCCACAUCACCAAUACAGUCACAUCAGCAGAUGACUUCUAAUGGACCUAUGGGCAGGUGAAUAACCUCCUUGUGGGGCUUGGACUUUGGUAACGCAGUAUAUCCUGGGCCUACAAGACAAAAAGCUUAUUCAACCUGCUCAAACUGUGUCUUCGAAAUACAUUUUAGAGAUUAGAGACUUGACUGAUCAUAGCAUGGCACCCUGCCUCUAGUUCCCAUGACUUUCCAGACAGAAUCUGCCUUCUCUAAAACCUCCAGGUAUUUCUGAUGAAAGCCCCCCUUCUAGUGCCUUCUCUAGAAAGAAAAAGUAAUGAUGCCAUUUGUAAAUACUGAACCUUCAAAUAUCAUAGCUCAGCUUCUAGACAGUUUCAAUGGCUGAAAGUCUUCAUUCUUUUAAAGAUUGCUUUGAACUUUAAAAACAGUUAAAAUUCAUUGGGCAUCAGAUUCAGUAAGGUAUUCGUGGUAUAUUGGGCUAUAUCACUUUUGGCCAAAAAUGAGGUGUUAACCAGAAAGAAAUGAAUCUUUAUUUUCUGCUUCAUAAACUGGCCUGUGAAAGCAAUUCUAAAAUGGGAACUUCAAGUGUACUUGGGCUAAUGAAUCACUGGAACAAAAAGUAUGACUUAUUUGAAAUGACCCUACUGAUUUGGAUGCAUAUGUUCUACUUAGUGUGUUUGUUUUAAAAAUCUAAAAGCAAUAAUGUCAUUUGUCAAUUUACAAUAGUAGCCAAAGGUGAAACACUUCUGAUAUUAUUUCUCUCAGUGCUCUAUGUUUCUGGGUUUAUACUGGAAUCUCUAUAAAGGUACACAAAGCUGACUACAAUGGCAAUGAUAGUCAUCUUAGAAAAUGUACUAAUAGAAAAGCAGAGAUCUGUCUUUAAUGGCCACUUUGAAAGCUGCAUUACGACACUUUCGUUCAGUGUUAAACUGCUUCUUCACAGUGUUCAAAUAUAAUAAAUCAGAGAUUAAAGUCAGGCUUCUGAUGAACUUACGUGGUACAAAAAUAUUAAUAUAUGUUUUUGAAGUUUGAAGACACUAAAACAGUUAAUAAUGUGUGAAAUUCCAUUUGCUCAUGUACCCUUCUUUCCAUAUCUCUUUUACACCCUGUACAAAAAUGACAGUUAAUUAACAACCUAGCCCAAGAGAAGUGUUUCUAGUAAUAAACAAAAGCUAUUGUCAAAGAAUAUGAAAUUUACCAUGACCAGAAAAAAAAGAGUACUUUGCAGACAAAUUAAACAGAAAUCUUGCAAUUAAAAUGCUUAAGCUGAUAUAAAAUAUAUCUGUAAUUGCAUAUUAUAAAGAAUUUAAAUCAAUAAUAAAAAUCCAUAAUGUAUAUGUCUCUGAAAAUGUGCUAAAUGUAUGUGUGUAUCUACACAUACACAAAUAUAUCU
rnacentral:lncRNA from 10 species